ACUGCACACAGUUGGAGCUUGGAGCUGAGGCCAGUUUCUGGCCAAGGACCUCUCAAGUGUAGGACGUGUGCUAUAGUAACCUGGCAGGAUUUUUCGCUGACGCCAUGAGGGUCUUUGUGGCCCAAUGAGUGGAGUUUGAUAGUCAUUCUUGCCACAGUU
ensembl:snoRNA SNORA62 Small nucleolar RNA SNORA62/SNORA6 family